rnacentral:rRNA from 1 species
UACGUAGGGGGCAAGCGUUGUCCGGAUUUAUUGGGCGUAAAGAGCGUGUAGGCGGCCAGGUAGGUCCGUUGUGAAAACUGGAGGCUUAACCUCCAGCUGUCGAUGGAAACCAUCUGGCUAGAGUCCGGAAGAGGAGAGUGGAAUUCCUGGUGUAGCGGUGAAAUGCGCAGAUAUCAGGAGGAACACCGGUGGCGAAGGCGGGUCUCUGGGCAGUAACUGACGCUGAGGAGCGAAAGCGUGGGGAGCGAACAGG